GAUGAACGCUGGCGGCGUGCCUAAUACAUGCAAGUCGAGCGAACAGACGAGGAGCUUGCUCCUCUGACGUUAGCGGCGGACGGGUGAGUAACACGUGGAUAACCUACCUAUAAGACUGGGAUAACUUCGGGAAACCGGAGCUAAUACCGGAUAAUAUAUUGAACCGCAUGGUUCAAUAGUGAAAGACGGUUUUGCUGUCACUUAUAGAUGGAUCCGCGCCGCAUUAGCUAGUUGGUAAGGUAACGGCUUACCAAGGCGACGAUGCGUAGCCGACCUGAGAGGGUGAUCGGCCACACUGGAACUGAGACACGGUCCAGAAUCCUACGGGAGGCAGCAGUAGGGAAUCUUCCGCAAUGGGCGAAAGCCUGACGGAGCAACGCCGCGUGAGUGAUGAAGGUCUUCGGAUCGUAAAACUCUGUUAUUAGGGAAGAACAAAUGUGUAAGUAACUAUGCACGUCUUGACGGUACCUAAUCAGAAAGCCACGGCUAACUACGU
rnacentral:rRNA from 1 species